AAUUCCCCUCCCUCUCCCGGAGCUGGAUCGAGGAAGCCAGCUCCGCACUGAUCACAUGUCCUGCCUUCAGGGAGGGAUGUGGACAAGAGCCUCAGUGGACCUGCCAAACCACAGAAGCAGGGCCUUCGGCCACUGGCCCCAAGAUGGCAUCUGAGAUCACUGGGAUGCCACAGCUCCUGGCUUCUGGUGCCUGCUCCUGCCUUCAUCAGCCACAGCCAUUUCUACAAACCCAGAUGUUGAUGCCUCUAGAUGAAGAAGGAUGAGAGCCAAGACUUCUGCAUCUCAUCAAUGCCCACUGAUGCUAUUAUGUUGAUCCUGCAAAAUCUUGAAGGCCUUCUGAAUCAUUAAAGAAAGCUUAGAUUGUGUCUGGUUUA